CAUCAUUCAAGAUGGCAUUGCAGAGGAGUAAUCAGCACUGCUGCCUCACAGCUCUAGAGACCAGAGUUCAGUUCUCAGAUCAAUGUCACUCAGUCGUUUUGAAAAACUUUGAGUGACUGGUGCUUGGACACAUUAAAAAAUACUCCAGAUAGUUUGGAUCAGCUCCUGUUUGUAUAUCGGCACAACUAGUCCACCCAGGGUAGUGUUCUGUGCCCCUGCUGUACUCCUGUUCACCUUUCAGAACAAUGAAGGAUGAAGGUUAUUCUAUGUGACAGACUGCUAAGAAACUGAAGAUUUCAUGAAAAGGGAUUUAUUAUUAUCUUGAGAAAAGAGGCCAAACUAUAGUAGAUUUAACCUGACCAGAAGAGGAAUGGAAAGAUCCCGAUGCACAACAGCAUCAGAGGAUAAGGACAUCACAAUCUGUAGUUUAAUAAAGAAAACACUUUAUAAAUCCUCAACAGGCGCCUUACUAAAAUACACACCAUACACAGACCUAAGAGUCAAAGUUUGAAAGAAAAAGCCAAUUUUGAAAAUGGUACAUAAAAAAAAAGGGUUAAAAUGGGCAAAGCAACACAGACAUGGGAUGGUAGAU